GAUGUCCCAUUCUUCUUACUUCCAGACACCACCCCCGCUGUUCCUUUGGCAGGAGGAAGUGGCUGAUACAAGAGAUUCCAGAGUUUUUCCAAGGCAAAGACCCAGAAGGCAAAACUCAUUCAUGAGCUACCAAGGAAGAACUGGUGAAGAGAGUGUGUGUCAGGGUCUAGGUCCUCCCUGGAAGGAAGAUCACAACUCAAGAAAUGAUAUUCUCCAAAUGCAGGCAUUACGGAACUCUGUAGAAUGAUGUCUGGGCCUGCUGUAUAUUGGAAAAAAACAGUCUAAAAAAGUGCUUGUGACUUUA